UAAAGAUUCAUCGCUGAUAGAUAGGCACGCGUUCCAUUAGGCAGUUGGCGGGGUAACGGCCCACCAAACCGACGAUGGAUAGGGGUUCUGAGAGGAAGGUCCCCCACAUUGGUACUGAGACACGGACCAAACUCCUACGGGAGGCAGCAGUGAGGAAUAUUGGUCAAUGGGCGUAAGCCUGAACCAGCCAAGUCGCGUGAGGGAUGAAGGUUCUAUGGAUCGUAAACCUCUUUUAUAAGGGAAUAAAGUGUGGGACGUGUCCUAUUUUGUAUGUACCUUAUGAAUAAGGAUCGGCUAACUCCGUGCCAGCAGCCGCGGUAAUACGGAGGAUCCGAGCGUUAUCCGGAUUUAUUGGGUUUAAAGGGUGCGUAGGCGGCCUUUUAAGUCAGCGGUGAAAGUCUGUGGCUCAACCAUAGAAUUGCCGUUGAAACUGGGGGGCUUGAGUAUGUUUGAGGCAGGCGGAAUGCGUGGUGUAGCGGUGAAAUGCUUAGAUAUCACGCAGAACCCCGAUUGCGAAGGCAGCCUGCCAAGCCAUGACUGACGCUGAUGCACGAAAGCGUGGGGAUCAAACAGGAUUAGAUACCCUGGUAGUCCACGCAGUAAACGAUGAUCACUAGCUGUUUGCGAUACAGUGUAA
rnacentral:rRNA from 1 species